ACCUUGGUAGACCGGGAACAAGAUUCGAGACAUGGAAAUUCUUUUCGGUUGUUUCCUUGUUUGCUUUGGAGAGUCUAAUGUGGAUGGUUUUUAGUGGAUUCAUUGGAUGUUGUAAUUGCACUGGGGGAAAAUCCACAUAGAUUAGUCAUGAAUUCUAUACUAUUCAGCCCCCAUGUGUCAGCCCUUUUCUCAAUUGUCGCCUGCUGGAAAGAACAUACUGGAACUUGGUGUUGGGACAUGGCCUAACUUCAAAUACUAUGCAAGCGAAUAUGGGUUAAUGUAAUUGGAGUGGACUCUAACAAGCACAUGGAAAACUAGGCAAGGACUGCUAUUGUGUCUGCUGGACUCCCAUCAUCAAGCUUCACAUUCAGAAGAGGUUGUUGAAGCCUUGCCGGCAGAAGACAAUUCCAUAGAUGUGGUGAUCAGCACACUGGUAUUUUGUUCUGUAAAUAACAUCGACAUGGCACUGAGAGAUGAUACAUUGCUCCGCUUGGUUCAAGGUGCGCUUGAUCCCUCGCAGCAAAUUUGUAGCCGACAGAUCUGAGCCUGUACAGUGUCCGAGUGUCAAAUGCCUACAUCAUUAGCAUUUAUGUUUAUGGCAUAGCCUACAAGUGAGGUAUUUCCUCUUCCGCCAUCUUUUAAAAUAGUUGCAAAUGAUGUCCCGUGUCUUCCAUCAAUAAGGGGUUUGUGGAAUGUAAAGUUGUUUCAAAAGAAAUCAUUUGUUUUUUGGUAACCAUUCCUUAAAAACUUCAUUCGUAAAACCGUUCGACAAGCCGACUAACUUGCAGCUGUAACUAUAAUGGGAAAAAUCCAAAUAACUUAUUCAUGAAUUAUAUACUAUUCAGUCCCCAUGUAUCCUGCUGAACUAAUCUCUCCAGUGAUCUUUUGUUGCUGAUCUGAGACGGCCAGGUGGGUUCCUCCUCAUAAGGUGUGUCAUCGGUUACACAUGGAUUUAAUAAUAUCCUGCAUCAUUCUAUUAGUUCCUACUGAAUUAAAUAAAGACCACAAUGCCCAUAUAGACUUUGGUAAGGUAGAGAAGCAUGUGCGCACUAUCGGUGGUGGAAGCCUGGUACUGUUAGGUAACUACUGCACUACUGCUCAGAAAAUAGAUUGCAUUCCUUCUAGAAUGUCAAGGAUGUAUUAGUGACCAAUUUAAACUUUGAUGGUAAAUUUUUAUGUUUCCGCAUGAAUUUGUGUAUCAGAGAAGACACACAAAAUAUCUUUUGAAUCCCAAUGUCAACUCUACAUACUAUGAUCCAAAAACCCGCUCCAUGAGGGGAGACCCCUUGCCAGGUGUAGAUCCAAAAUGAUAAGUUCUACGUGGUAAGUAAUCUCUACUACUCUAUAAGGACCUAUUGUGGGUGUCCAAAAUGCUUCACCGUGCCCCCGCCUGCCUCCGCCCCUGCGACACCCCAACCCCUAAACCACGCUUGCUCCCCACGCAAUGGCCGCUCAUCCCUCCGCUGCACCCACCGCUCCAUCCACCGCAUUUCUGCCUGACCCCACCUCCACACCUCCGCGGGGGCGUAGCUCGUCGAUGUCACCCAACCGUGUCGUCCUUGGUUCCAUGCCCCCGCCUCCGUCUCCCGUCGACCAAUCCGCGUCGAUGUCACCCAAUCGCUCGGACUAGAGAAAAAAAUUCUGUGUUUUUAUGGACGCCCUUUCAGGUUUAUGUGUGCCUAAUUCAUAUGACAAUGUUGGGGCAUUACACUUGUGAUGUAAACAAUCUGUGACUUUUGUUUGAUUUCCAGGUAAUCAGCCAAAUAUAGUAUGUGGUCUGGAGUUCAUAUUUUUGCUACUUUUCUGGCGCGACGAUGUGGCGGAGGCGAUGGCAGGGCCUAGAACGGAUUAGUCAUCCUGCUCUGUGUUGGAAGUUAUGUGAAUUUUCUGCCUCCUAGCUCUAGAUGGAUGAUUUUCUUCAUUUUGCCAACUCCUUGUCAUUGCUUUCUACUGUUGUUUGUUUAUUUUAGUGCAGCAACGGAGCCUAUGAAGAAGCCCUAUUUUCUAUUUUUGUUUGCUAACUCUAAGCAGAUCGCUCGCUGAAGAAGCCCACCCUCCUCGCUAUAGAAGGUAUGUGUUUAACAGAUAUGUGUUGUUCUGAAAGAGCAUGGAACAACAAAGAAAAAGAAAAAUAAAAAAAGAAAGCACAAAGUCUGAACUUAUGAACUUCUGAAACCUACAGAUUAUUCUAAAAUUUCUAUUAAGUCUAAAAUUGUGAAAUUGUGAAAUUCGUGUUUAGUCUGAUCUUCUAUAAUUCUGAAAGUCUACAAUCACCUGAACAUUGGCUGAAAGUCUGCAGCCACCUGAAAGUCUGCAAAUAAAGAAGCACAACUUCAUCUUUAGCCGACCACGACGGUGGCGACGAUGUCGUUCUCCAUCCCGGAUGCGCGAGAGAUCCCUGCGGCAGUGGGUCAGAGGGGAGGGCUGAGCUCUGCCGCGGUGAUGGGAGGGAGUGGUCGAGGUGCUCGAAGCUCUCACUGACAGCAGUGGGGGAGAGGAGGAUACAAGUUUACUGUGGCUAGGGGAGGAGAGCGGGAGAGGAGAGCCUAUACAAUAGAAUUUGUAGCGACGCAUGGGCACCUAACUUUUUUAUAUAAUAGUGUUGAUCGACCUUUGGUUUGGCUGCUACACUUUGCAUUCAGGCUAACAAGGCAGAGAAUAAGAUUUCAUGGCACAUGUCUCGGAAAGAGGCAUAUCCUACUGCCUUAUUGUAAAGCCCAAAAUUGGUAUAAGAAAAAAAAUG